rnacentral:lncRNA from 1 species
UGCUGAGCUGCUGGACAGCAGCCAGAGGAGGCGAGUUUGGAGAGAUCACCUCUAAAAUCACCACAAGGAAAAAGGAAAUCCUGAAGAGUGCUGGCCUGCUGCAAGGUUUGUCGUGCUGAAAGCUGCCAUGGCACCAUGUGCACAGGGUCCACCCUGGGACAAUGCCCACCUUGUGUUUCUGGAGGAGGAAGGUGGAGCUCUCAUCGGAACAGGCUGCACCAUCCAAGGCACCUCAACUGGGAGCUGGAACUCCACUGAGGAGAUUGUACAUGC